rnacentral:lncRNA from 1 species
CACCACACCUGGCCUAUCUGUACUUUUUUAAACCUCAUAUGAAGAGUUAAGAAUUAUGUAUUUGCUUUGAUUCAAAGGAUAUUGGAUUGUUUUUCCCUUAAACCAAUAUAGUCAAGCAACUUCAAAGGACAUAGCAGAUACUCAAAGCAGUUAUGUCUCAGGUAUCAACCAACAAUGAACCACAUAAUGGUCCCGUAUUAUAUACUGCAGACACUUUCAGGACUCAGUCAUUCCACUCCUAGAAAGGUACACAACAAAAAUGCCUACAUAUUUUCACCAGAAGACAUGAAACAGAAUAUUUAUAGCCGAACAAUUUGUUAUAAGCCCGAACAGAGAGCAACCUAAACGCCAGUCAACAGAAGAAUAGAUGAAUAAAUGGAAGACCGUCAGCAAUGAAAAUGACCCAUAUGCAACUACAUACAACAAUGUGGAUUAAUUUCACUAGCAUAAUGUUGAGAGAAAGAUACCAGAUCCAAAAGUGUUCCUACUGGGCUUCUGGAGGAAUUUUAGUUUGUGAUGCCCGCGUAUACGUGUAGGUUAUAUAUAGAUAUCACCUUUUGCAUUUUCAUUUAGUUUUGGAAGAUGUGUUUCUGUGAUUCAGAAUUCCAAAGAUUCCGUUCUGGGCAACAACACAAGACCCUGUCUCUACAAAAUUAAAAAAAAAAAAAAUUAGCUGGGUGUGUGGCACACACCUGCAGUUCCAGUUACUCAAAACGCUGCGG